CACGCCCUGGGCUGAAGGCAGGCAGUAAACCACUGAGCCACCCAGGCGUCCCUAAAUAAAUUAAAUCUUUAAAAAUAAGAAGAAGAAGAAGUAAUUAUUAGUGAAACUGGAUUGUCACAGUAGUGAGAGCACAUUUGAGAUUGGUGAUCAAAGCGGGGUCCUGGCCGGGAGCAGACAACCUUAGAGAGUGGCCUGAGCACACCGAGGGCAGAGCCAGGCCAUGACAGCUCCAGGGCAAAGUCAGGCACAUUUCUGAUCAUUCUGCCUCAGGCCCAAGUGGAUAUUUUCACUGCUGUGCAGAAAAGAAACCCAGGGCUAGCAGAUGUGAACCUUGGCACGCAGUAAGCCCCUGCAAAUAAAUGUGCAGUUGGAGAAUUCGCAAUCACAAAACCUCAGUGUGCUGCUUCUAGCACCAAGAACAUCACAGAUCCAUUUGUUUUGAGCUUUGUCUGGGACUGGCCACCCAUCACUGCCUGAGUCCAGGGGUCUUCUAACUCCACUCUGAAGGAGCCUACGCAGCCUGUGUUCUCCAAACCUAGACCUCCAAGAAAAUCUUUUAAGAAAGAUUUUAUUUAUUUAUUCAUGAGGGACACAGAGAGAGAGAGGCAGAGACCCAGGCAGAGGGAGAAGUAGGCUCCCCAUGGGGGGCCCAAUGUGGGACUCGAUCCCGGGACCCCAGGGUCACGCCCUGAGCUGGAGGCAGACGCUCAACAGCUAAGCCCCCCAGGGGCCCCAGGAUGUGCAGGUCUUAUAGAUCCCUGGUUCUGAGUGAAGUCGCCAGGAAUGUAUUUUAAUAAGUGUAUUUUCUAUUCGGUGCAUCCUCAUGAGCCACUCACCUAGACAACUAAAUGAGGAAAGCACAAAAAAGCUGAAUAUCUCAAAAACUAAAUCAAUCCCAUGAAAGCCUGAGUCCGUUCAGAGCCACUGCGGGAAGCUCGCCAACAGCAGCUGCGAGGUGUUGCCUCCGUUGUGACAUCUCGAAACACCGAUCCUAUCUAAGGUCCUAACUAUUGGAAAAGUUCUCUCCACUUAAGAAAUUUUGGGAUGUAUUCUGGGUUUCCCUUUCACCUUCAAACGUUUCAGUGAAUCUCUAAUCAAAGCAAACAUCACCAUCACCAAAGCAAAGCGUUUGCUUCCUCUGAGGCCUGAGCAAGCACUGUGGAAGCUGCUAGAAAAAUAGGAGCUUGUGCAGCCUGUAUAAGGAUUUUCUGUUUCUCCCAACUCCCUUCACUUCCCUAUCUGAUUUCCUAGCCAGUUCCUAUUACUAACCCCCCCCCACACACACACACACAGACACGCACACUAUGCAUCUACCCAUUUUCCUGAGUAAUACAGACCCACUGGGGGCUGACAGGGAUAGGAUAACAAGUCUGUCGCAUAAUCAGAACGGGCUAAAGGCAGAGACAGCCCCAUACAAGUGACAAGAGCAGGGAGGAAACCAUGAUCUGAGAGCUUUUCUUUUGGAAAAAAAGAAAUCAGAUGCAUGUAUUUGGUUUUGUUCGCAAUGUUUGCAAGUCUUUUGGUUUUGUCCAACUCAAUAUGCUCAGAAACGUUUGACAUGGACUAGAUACACAGCCUUUGGGUAUAAGACAGACUUAAGUCUGCUGAGAGGGUGUCUCGGGGCGCUCACCUUCAAGCACUUAGAGGGUGUUCCCACCAGGUCUGUGCUGAGCCCAGCACUGUUCAACAUUUUAAUUAAUGAAUUGGCAUUCAGAGUAACCUUGGUGAUUAAAGCCAGGAAUACCAAGAGCCGGAUCUGUAGAAUAGCUGUUCCCUUUGUGGGGGCACGAGGGAGGUUUCUGGUGCAGGAAGUGCUUGACCUGGGAACUUGCUAAAUGAAUAUAAUCGUUGGCGAAAUAUUUAUCAGGUUGGGUGCUGAAGAGUUGCUCAUUUCACUGUGCAUUUUGACUUUGAAAAGUUUACACACAGACUCAAAAAGCAAAUAGCCGACUUAGAGCAAUAAUUGUGUCAGCGCAAAGAAGAAAGUGACAAGGUGGUUUAAGGAGAAUACUACUGAGAGGCUUAUUUCCCCCCAGAUCCCUCCCCCAGGGGGUUGGGGGGCAGGAGCUGCCACAAAGGGGAGGGGGCAGCUAUGGGUUGAGGAUGGAGAAGAGGGUGAAAGUCUCACAGGAGGUUGUCGGACCCCUGGGAGCCCCAUCACCUCUCUCACGCAGCCAGGCAACUGCUGUUCCCCCAGCUGGAGACAGAGGGGUUAUUUUCUAGAAAAAUGAAAUGGGAUACUGAGAUUCAGGAUUCAGGGUUACCAGACUCAGCAGAGAAAGGUAGAGCUUGCGGUGAGAGGGGGCUGGGACGAGGCAUGAGCUCUCUCUUCUCAUCAUAACCUGCAGAAUGUUCCCUUGCGUGUGUUGCAUUGAUGUGUUUAAAAUUUCAGUAAGGAUAAUAUCGGGGCCUAAGUAAUGACGGAAAUGGAUGAGAACCAUUGAGUCAUCUCACAUUUGCGUUUGGCAGAGUAGUGUUUGGGCUUUGGAAGCUUAAAGAGUCUGGAAAUAGGACCAGAGAAAAACUGAACGUGAGCAAAGGGAAUUGAUGACAGUGACUCCACUCUCCGGAGGUGGUUAGAAAUGGACUUCCCAGGGGUGGCUUUCAAGGCCGUCCUCCUUCACCGGGGAGUUCUCCCAGGGGCCCCUUUGUGUUGGUGAUGCAAACGGGUGAUGCUGACAUGCAGGUGCUUUUUCUUUCAAACCAUGCAUAUUUCAUGUUUCCUUGGAUUUCAAAUUUACCUUUGGGGAUCCCCUUGCGGGUCCAAGGAGCUGUCUUGUUCAGUGCCACAUGGUUCCUGAAAGAGUGGCAGGCACACAAUAAGUGUCGAAUUAAAAAAAUGAAGCAACUGGGGCGCCUGGCUGGCUCAGUGGGGCCCUCAUGACACUCUUGAUCUCAGGGUUGUGGGUUCCAGCCCCAUGUUGGGUGGAGAGAUUACUUAAAAACAAAAUCUUUUUUUAAAAAAAUGGAGGAGUCAAUGGUGUGGCGAUAAAGUCGAAUAUCUGGCUCUUGGGAGUGACAGGGGAAGCGUUUCUGCGACGUUAAAUACACCCACCGUGACCUACCCAUUGCAAGCUACCAGCACAACUUUGCUGAACACAGAGAAGGAGGAGAAGAACACAGAUGAGAAACCAAAGUUUAUGGACAUCAAGUAAUUGAGGAUCACACAGCCAGUGAGUGGGAAAGCCUUUUGGAAAAGGGUCCUCGAUUCCUCAGGUCAGUGAAGAAUAAAGAAACUGGACACCACUUCUGGGUAGUUGGAGCACUGUGUCUGACGACCAAAUGUCACCCUCUCACAAAGACUGACAUGGAACUUCUGAGACCAGAGCUCCCAUUAUCCUGCGUACCUGCUACAUCACAUCACAGCCACACAGUGACAGCAGGCUCCUGUCUUAGCCCUAUCUAGUCCAAAGAUUAAUACGGUGUCAUGUUUAGACAGUGUUCUGGUUUUUGUUUGUUUCUUUUUAAACGCUAAAUAAAUAAAUUUAAAAAAUGUAUCUCACCAGUAAAACAACCUGGUGAAAAUAAAAUCAAGUUCCAACCUUACAUCUGUCUUGGGAUUUACGAGAGACCUUUUUUUUUUUAAAGAUUUUAUUUGUUUGACACAGAGAGAGAGAGAGAGAAUGCAAGCAGAGAGGGAGAAGCUUGACAGGGAGCCUGACCUGGGGCUCGAUCCCAGGACCCAAGGAUCAUGACCUGAGCUCGAUCCACUGAGCCACCCAGGUGCCCCUGCAGGAGAACUUUUGAGUGUAAAGCAAAUAGACCUUUAGCUCCUCCCGCAUGGUCACACAGAACCAAGAGUCUGUAGUUUCUUAAAGCUGCGAUACAAAAUCAGAAAUGUUACCCCAGAAAGUCCUACAGUGGGGAACCAAGUGGGACGGCCUGCGGGCAGGGGUUGUGGAGAUUCCCGGGCCUUAGCCAUGAUUUCCCCUUCUCAUUUUAACAAGACUGUUAAGAUAAUAAUAGGAAAC